GAUGAACGCUGGCGGCGUGCCUAAUACAUGCAAGUCGAGCGAACAGACGAGGAGCUUGCUCCUCUGACGUUAGCGGCGGACGGGUGAGUAACACGUGGAUAACCUACCUAUAAGACUGGGAUAACUUCGGGAAACCGGAGCUAAUACCGGAUAAUAUAUUGAACCGCAUGGUUCAAUAGUGAAAGACGGUUUUGCUGUCACUUAUAGAUGGAUCCGCGCCGCAUUAGCUAGUUGGUAAGGUAACGGCUUACCAAGGCAACGAUGCGUAGCCGACCUGAGAGGGUGAUCGGCCACACGGGAACUGAGACACGGUCCAGACUCCUACGGGAGGCAGCAGUAGGGAAUCUUCCGCAAUGGGCGAAAGCCUGACGGAGCAACGCCGCGUGAGGGAUGAAGGUCUUCGGAUCGUAAAACUCUGUUAUUAGGGAGGAACAAAUGUGUAAGUAACUAUGCACGUCUUGACGGUACCUAAUCAGAAAGCCACGGCUAACUACGUG
rnacentral:rRNA from 1 species